UACGGAAGGUCCGGGCGUUAUCCGGAUUUAUUGGGUUUAAAGGGAGCGCAGGCGGAUCUUUAAGCGUGACGUGAAAUGUAGCCGCUCAACGGCUGAAUUGCGUCGCGAACUGGAGGUCUUGAGUGGGUACGACGCCGGCGGAAUUCGUGGUGUAGCGGUGAAAUGCUUAGAUAUCACGAAGAACCCUGAUUGCGAAGGCAGCUGGCGAGUCCCUUACUGACGCUAAAGCUCGAAGGUGCGGGUAU
rnacentral:rRNA from 1 species